rnacentral:rRNA from 1 species
GAUGAACGCUGGCGGCGUGCCUAAUACAUGCAAGUCGAGCGAACGGACGAGACGCUUGCUUCUCUGAUGUUAGCGGCGGACGGGUGAGUAACACGUGGAUAACCUACCUAUAAGACUGGGAUAACUUCGGGAAACCGUAGCUAAUACCGGAUAAUAUUUUGAACCGCAUGGUUCAAAAGUGAAAGACGGUCUUGCUGUCACUUAUCGAUGGAUCCGCGCUGCAUUAGCUAGUUGGUAAGGUAACGGCUUACCAAGGCGACGAUGCGUAGCCGACCGGAGAGAGUGAUCGGCCGCACUGGAGCGGGGACACGGUCCAGGCGCCUACGGGAGGCAGCAGUAGGGAAUGUGCCGCAAUGGGCGAAAGCCUGGCGGAGCGACGCCACGUGAGUGAUGGAGGUCUUCGGAUCGUGAAGCUCUGUUAUUGGGGAAGAACAGAUGUGUAAGGAACUGUGCACAGCUUGACGGUACCUAGUCAGAAAGCCACGGCUAACUACGUG